AACGAACGCUGGCGGCAGGCUUAACACAUGCAAGUCGAGCGAGACCUUCGGGUCUAGCGGCGGACGGGUGAGUAACGCGUGGGAACGUGCCCUUCUCUACGGAAUAGCCCCGGGAAACUGGGGGUAAUACCGUAUACGCCCUUUGGGGGAAAGAUUUAUCGGAGAAGGAUCGGCCCGCGUUGGAUUAGGUAGUUGGUGGGGUAAUGGCCCACCAAGCCGACGAUCCAUAGCUGGUUUGAGAGGAUGAUCAGCCACACUGGGACUGAGACACGGCCCAGACUCCUACGGGAGGCAGCAGUGGGGAAUCUUUAGACAAAUGGGGGCAAACCCUGAUCUAAGCCAUGCCCGCGUGAAGUGAAGAAAGGCCUUAAGGGU
rnacentral:rRNA from 1 species